GAUCUCUGCAUGCCUGAGGUCUUCUGAAGGAUGUACAGCAUAAUCAAUGCUCAAGGGAAAGCCAAGAGAACAGCUGGAGCCUUGCUCAGUGGGAGAGCUCCAUUCUGUGAAAGCUGCCUUUUCACUGCAUGUUCUGGGAACAACCAUGAACUGAUGAGAUGAAGUCUGUUCAGCCUUCAUUAUAUGGAUGCAGUCACCACUCUUUUGUCAUAGAAGACCAAAUUUUCUUGUAUACGUUUGUCUGAAAUGGUUUCAGCAAUGUGGCUCAAAAGAACACUCCUGGAGUGAGCCAGGUCUCUAAGCCAUAUAAGCCAACAGCACUCACCUUCUCGUGCCUGUCUCUUAUGGAAAUAACUUGGGAGAAGCAGAAUUCACAGAUCCUUGUACCCAAGGCUUUGUAAAUACAAAAUGAAACCUUCUGAUGUAUGAAAUCUAUACAACUGAGUGAUAUACCUUGUAGAAAUAUAUUUCAUAUUUCAGAAAAGAUUUUUCCCUUACCAUGUAUGUCCUUUCCUUUGCCCUUGAACUAAAUCUGUAGAACACAGAGAAAUACCAUAGUGAAUGUUAAAAACACAGCACACAUAAUACAAUUAUUUUCUUAAAGCCUCAGCUGCUACAAUAAUUUCAUUCAGCAAGCAUUAUAGUUUGCAAAAUAAAUUAUUGAGCAUUUUUGUGGGAGAGCCUCAAAAACACAAACUUCAAAGACUUGAAUCCUUUUUUAAAAAAAGUCAAGGUUGACUAAAAAAAAAUAAGCUGCAUUUUGAUUUGACUCCUUUUUUAGGGAAGAAGUUGAUUUCUUUUUUAAAUGCUUGAGACUGGCAGUCCUUAAUUUUUCUCACACUUUAUUGCUGCUUAAUUAUGUCCCUUCUAAAGUAGUAGGAGAGAGAUGAGCUGUAGCAGAGCUCAACCAGUUCCUAUCAACGUGUCUUUUUGUUGGCUCUGCAAAAAAAGCCUUCCAUAUAUUGCCACCAGUGGGUGCUUUACUGAAACAGGGCUGACCCAUAGAGCUGAAACACGUUCUUGCAGCCGCUGGAUGCAAAGGCAUAUAGCUCCACAAUACAGUGCCUCUUACUGGGAUUCUUCCAGUGUGUUUACUGCCAAGAGCAAUAGGAGAUCUCUUUCCUGGUAGACUUUAAUUGAGCCAAGCUUUCUUUGAUUUGAAGUUAGUUUUGCCUCAGCAAUGAGUACAGAACUAGGCCAUACAAAUAGUUCCUGUAUAGAUCAAAAGGCUUUUGUAUGUAGGUAUUAACAGCUAGCAUUACUGAUAUGAAUGAGGAGACGUACUGCGCUUACCAUCUGCGGAUGCUGGAGCGGAUGGAUUAGAUUUGGGUUUUAGGGAAUUGGAAACAACCUGUUUUUUUUUUUUUCCUAUUUUGCUAAUUAUGAAAUGAUUCUUAAAGCAGAUAAGAGUGACUAAUUUGGCCAAUGAAUUUAAUGGGAUGAAAGUCAAGUACAAAAAUGAAGCAAACAGGGAAAGGAUAGAACAAAACAACACAAGGGCUUAGUGUGUAUUUAAUAAUGUGGAAUUUCUGUAGGUACCAGAAUGAAAAUUUUUCCCGUACCCAAUCAGGUCACUUUCUGAUUUUUAAGUGCAAAAUUCAAUUUAGAAUUUGAACACAAUAAAUAUCAAUUGCAGAGAUUGUUGUUGCUGGCUUGUACAUGAUUUCGAAUACUUACAUAUCAUGUAUCAGCAAAUAAAUCUGUG